AGAACGAACGCUGGCGGCAUGCCUAACACAUGCAAGUCGAACGCUUCACCGGUUUCGGCCGGUGGGGAGUGGCGCACGGGUGAGUAGCGCGUGGGAACCUGCCCUGUUGUGGGGGAUAACCGAGGGAAACUUCGGCUAAUACCGCAUAAGCCGGUUGUCUUGAAAGGGAUGGCCGGGAAAGAUUUAUCGCCGAAAGAUUGGCCCGCGUCUGAUUAGCUAGUUGGUGAGGUAACGGCUCACCAAGGCGACGAUCAGUAGCUGGUCUGAGAGGAUGAUCAGCCACAUUGGGACUGAGACACGGCCCAAACUCCUACGGGAGGCAGCAGUGGGGAAUAUUGGACAAUGGGCGCAAGCCUGAUCCAGCCAUGCCGCGUGAGUGAUGAAGGCCCUAGGGCUGUAAAGCUCUUUGUGCGGGAAGAUAAUGACGGUACCGCAAGAAUAAGCCCGGCUAACUCGUGCCAGCAGCCGC
rnacentral:rRNA from 1 species